rnacentral:rRNA from 1 species
GUUAUCGUUUAUUUGAUAGUACCUUACUACUUGGAUAACCGUGGUAAUUCUAGAGCUAAUACAUGCUGAAAACCCCAACUUCGGGAGGGGUGUAUUUAUUAGAUAAAAAACCAACGCCCUUCGGGGCUUCUUGGUGAUUCAUGAUAACUUAACGGAUCGCAUGGCCUUGCGCCGGCGACGGUUCAUUCAAAUUUCUGCCCUAUCAACUUUCGAUGGUAAGGUAUUGGCUUACCAUGGUUUCAACGGGUAACGGGGAAUUAGGGUUCGAUUCCGGAGAGGGAGCCUGAGAAACGGCUACCACAUCCAAGGAAGGCAGCAGGCGCGCAAAUUAUCCAAUCCCGACACGGGGAGAUAGUGACAAUAAAUACUGAUACAGGGCUCUUCUGGGUCUUGUAAUUGGAAUGAGUACAAUUUAAACCUCUUAACGAGGAACAAUUGGAGGGCAAGUCUGGUGCCAGCAGCCGCGGUAAUUCCAGCUCCAAUAGCGUAUAUUAAAGUUGUUGCAGUUAAAAAGCUCGUAGUUGAACCUUGG